UGUGUGUGUGUGAGAGCAGGAUCCUCUGAAGGACACAUGGAGACCUGCCGGCCAGCAUGUACCUGGCCUUCCUCCUCAGACUAUAUAAUAUCACAGAGACUAAAGCUGGUGAUGCAGUCCAGGUCAUGAAGUCAGAUAUUCAAUCAAACAGCCAACAAAGUGGUGCCUAUCUAUGAGAGCUGCAGGAUGAAUUUAAUCUAACCCGGCUUCUAACACUGUAAUAUAUUUUCAUCUUAGAUCAAAGGUUAUGAGUUGUUAUAGAUCUCUUACAUACACAUAUGUUACUACUAUUGUCUAUCAGAGUAUCUCCAUGCACAUGUAAAUAGUUUGUUGAUCACUUGCAUAGACAUCAACAAUGCAUGAAGACUCCGACCCAGUUUCUGUCAGCUGUCGCUUUACAACAUGCCUUUGAUUUUCUGAAUAGAGAGAUUUAAAAUAAAUGAAAUACCCGAAUAAUCUGUCAUCUCAUUUCCAUGGCAACCGUUCACUGCUGUAGUAAAAUAGGCAGCCAAUCAAGUCAAUCGCUCGCUCGCUCUCCCCCGCUCUCUCACACACAGAAACACACACACAUACACACACACACACACACACGCGCGCACACACAUAUUCCACUCUUUGAUGCUACAGAAGGAAACUUGAAACGUGAUUGAUGCAAAUUUGCGUCAAAAUGUAAUUCAAUAUUGAAACAUGAGCUUGAUUGAAGAAUUGGAUUGGAAGGUCCGAUAAAUCAUCCAGUUAGUGUCACAGUCGGUAAAUCAAUUAUUCAAUGGCAUUUCUAAAUAACAGUGGAUACCUAUGGUUGCCAUGGACACGUAGAUGAAUUACAGGGUUGUCAGUUGUCGGUGAUACUCCUACACUAAGUAGGACAAAUAGAGAACAAAUAAUGCCAACACAGAAAUGAGGACAUCCGUUAUGAAACAUUCUCUCCCGUGUAAUGUGAUUCCUGCGUCAGUGAACAUGUAAAUACUGGGAUAUUGUCAUUUGUUUGUUUUAAUUGAACUAAACAUCUCGAUUGUGACAUGUGGUAAACAUCUAAGCUCCGCCAUUCAUUGCUAAUAACCUUCAUCAUCUUGUCUGUGUUUCACUUGUCAUCAUCAGGUAUUGACACUUACUAAACGGAGUUCAUGAUUUACAUUUUAGCUACAUUUUAACAAUGUCAUGAUGGCAAAGGCAGGUUUGUCCACCUACUUCAACAGUUUUGCCACUCUACUCCACUAGUUAAAACUAGAUAAAACACAAUGUAAUCACGUGGAAAAAAAAGUCUUGAUUUAUACCUAUUUAUAAAACUAGUUAUGAAUCAUCCUCAAAAGAGAACCUCACCGGGGUUUAGCAUGAAGUAUAGCAUGAUGAUAACAUGUAACCCCGUAACGAUUGUGUAUUUAGAACAUUUUGAGAGAAAGAAUAUGUUUUCAAAGCGCUUUAAUAAAGGGCACGUGUCCUCAGAUCCACUGGCAGGCUGAUCCAGAGUCUGAUCCAGAGUCUGGGUGGAUACAAACUAAAAGCAGCCUCGUUCUCGAUUGUUAACUGUCAGCACAGGUUGACAAGCUGUCAUGUUGUCGAGGAAACCUGAAAAUAGAGAUAGCACACAAACUGGGAAAUGCACCUUGCAGAGAUGAUAUGAGAAACGUCCCAAAUAAAAGGGAGCCACUCUUAUUAAUACAGAAAGAUCCAUCAUUGGGCUGUAACUGACAACUAUUAUUCAUUGAUUGAUUAAGGUUACCUUAAUUUAUUAAGAAUGAAUGCUAAUGCACAACCCACGGUGAUGGCUGUUGAGUUGUCUGAUUAGUUUACUGUAAAGGAAAAUAAACAAAAGAAGAAUAAACAUUCACGUUUGAGAAACUGGAAUGAGUAAAAUUCAGCCCAUAAGAAAUGUGUUCAAUAUUCAACAGACGAAUAAAAAAAGCUGCAGUACAGAUUCUCGGUUGCUUGACGAAUAAUCAUUUUACAUCUCACUGCCUUCCUCACUUUCUGUCACAGAUCAGAUUCACAGGUCAUUAGCUCAUACAAACUGACCAUCUUUUGAUUGACUGAGCCACAAACACAUUGAUUUAUUUCCUCCACUAAACACACACACACACAAACUGCCAUUCAACUGAUAAAUAUAUUGAUAAUAAAUCAUGUUUUCUUCAAAAAACAUCUCCAGACUGUUGUAAGCGUGGAUUGAAAAUCAGAUUUGAUCAGACAAUAAAACUAUCUUCUGGGGGAGCGAGGUGUGAUCUGGGUCUCCCCUUGAAGUUGUCCUUUGCAGGUCUUUUCAUAUGAAUAAUCUUUGUGAACUGAAAAAAGCCACAUGACCUUCCAGUGUAAUUACUUAAUUGGUGAGGAGGAUCCUAAAAUCCAGACUGUUCCUCGGUUUUAAUGGCAACAAACGGCUCAUGCUGCCCUCUUGUGUCUGGUUGGGACAAAAUAAUAUGAUCAUUAUGAGAAAGCUUUACUUCAUGUCACGUGGUUGUUAAAUAUUCUGUAGUUGGUGGUAUGAACUUCUGUAACCUGAGAGCUUUAAAGAACGGGCAAUUCUCAGUAAAUUCAAAGAAAAGGACGCUCUCUCUCUCACACACACACACACACACACUGUUGGCUCACUUGUCAGCGAACCCCUACAGACAGGUUUAUCCUGUGAUGGUCAUUCAUGUGCGUACUACUGCGUUCCUGCAGCUGGAUAAGCUGCUCCCCGUGCCUGGCAACAGCAGCAUGUGACCGGCUUGUGAUCCCGAGGUUUGGGGCGGGUGACUUGCUGCCCCGGGCCCGGCGCUAGACCACGAUAGUCUGAGGAAUCAGAGGAGCCAGUGCACACUGAGGGAGAAGAAAGUCCCACAGUCUGUCUUGCUCUUAGUUUCCACGUAUUAAAGAUCGGGUCUUGGGUCGUGCUCGUCACGCUAUGAGAACACAACUCACGUACACUGUAACAAAUUUCUGUAAAUUUACGGUGAAUUUCUAAUGGUAUCUUACAGUAUGUCAUAAUAACUAUAACGUACAGUUAAAUUUCCAUCCCUUGCUUGUAAAUUAACGGCCGAUGUCAUGAAUAAACAGUUAAAGCUGUCAAUUUACAAUAGCAGACUACCGUAAUUCAACUGCAUGUUGCAUAUAUUUUAUGAAGUGGUGGAACUACACAUACAGGUGCAGUGAAUCACAAUCCAUCUACAUCUGUUGUAGGUAAUGUAUGGAAGCCCAUGUCAGUCACUGAAAAACAGGUCCUGUAAGUCAUCAUAAUGAGAAAGUAUCUCAUGAGAUGCGAUGAUGACUUUCACUUACAGGACAUUACUAUACAUGCAGCUGUCACUUUUAUCCAAAACGCCCAUGGUUUGACAUCAUUUUAUGUGGAGUAAUUGGGGGUUAGGUGUCUUGCUCAGGGACACUUCAACUUGGCACAGGGAGCAGCCAGGAUUCAAACCGCCAACUGGCCGGAAUGUAAAGAUUAUAAAUAUUUGUAUUAUUCAAAGUGUUCAUUGCCUAAAAGUCAUUUGAGUGUUAAUCGUGACCGACUGCUCCUGAACGUGACGUCAGACGCGUAAUCUCAGUUCAUCCAGAACACCUGUGCAGUUCAACAUCGGAGGAGUUUCUCAUUGCCUCGUCUGUCCAAGUAACGUUGGUAAGUGUUAUUUGCCUAGCAUGAUUAACAUUCUCCUUCCUUACAUCUUGUUGUCUUCCUCAACUUUGUUAUUUUAAUAUUUUACCAAUGACAGUGUUUCUAAAUAUUUAAUUUUGGUUUGUUUUACAG
ensembl:lncRNA